CACGUAGGGGGCGAGCGUUGUCCGGAUUUAUUGGGCGUAAAGAGCUCGUAGGCGGUUUGGCAAGUCGGGUGUGAAAUUUCGAGGCUCAACCUCGAAACGCCACUCGAUACUGCCAUGACUGGAGUCCGGUAGAGGAGUGCGGAAUUCCUGGUGUAGCGGUGAAAUGCGCAGAUAUCAGGAGGAACACCAAUUGCGAAGGCAGCACUCUGGGACGUGACUGACGCUGAGACGCGAAAGCGUGGGGAGCAAACAGG
rnacentral:rRNA from 1 species